ensembl:lncRNA
ACGACCAAUCCCACACCAGGAUGUAGGAAGGACCUCUGAGGCACGCUGGGGAAUUCAGUUCCAAGCCAGGAUGCAGUUAAAAACCCACAGUGCUAUUAUUAUCCCCAUUUUAUAAAUUAGGACCCUGAGGCAAAGAACCAUUAAAUGUCUUGGAUUUGAACUCAGAUCUUCCUUACAUGAGACCUUGGGCACCACUUAGCAUUCUAACUAAUCUAGAGGUCCCGGUGGAUCCAAUCAGAGGCAAAGGGUUGGAUUAGGCGACUUCCUGUGACGUGGCUACCCUUCAACUUUUUUUGGUGAGAAGAGGCGGAGUCAAGAUGGCCACAUAGAAGGAGCAGGAGUUCAGACCUCUGAAAACCCUUCCUUAUGGAUCACAAACUGAAUGCUCCUAGGGGACUGAAAAUCAGACCUAACAACAAGACAGAGCCAAGGAACCCUCCUGCUGGACUCAACUCAAAAGCCAACAUUUUCAGAAGAAGAAACUUCAGAUUAGAAAUACUGAAUGACUCGCCCAAGGCCACACAGCUAAGUGACAAUAUGACUUUUCCAGGGUUCCUUGGCCAACAACCAGUGGAGUCACCUGGUUAUCUAGAAUUCAGGUCUGUGGGCUGCUAGCCCACAACUCUUUUUCUAUGUCCUCUUAUGAAUCUAGCUUUUGUGCUUUUUAAUUCAAACAUGGUAUGUUCCAUUAUGGGGAAGGGCAGGGUUCAGAUAAAAGAAAAGCUAAUACUCAGGGAAUCUGUGCCACCGUUUGAUUUGGCUUCAAAUAUACUUCCUUAAUGUAUAUUUCCCCUUGUAACAGAGAGGCAUAAAUUGGCUCUUGGCUGAGUAAUGGAUCAUUUGUUCCACCCUCCAGAAAAGCAAUAGUCAAAUAAGUGUAGGUGGGGUUUUUGAGAGAAGGCUUGGGCUUAGACACUUGGCUUAGAUAUUCAUUAUGUAAGAAUUUAUAAAAUUUGCCAUGGUUGAUGGGAAUUAACAGGGUAAGUUAUUCUAGGUCCAGGAACCAUUACCAGCUUAGAAUCUCCUCCUUAUUCAAGAUCUUCAUUGAGUUCACCUACUCAUGGAGCACAAAGCACAGAAUUCUUAAGAAUGUAUACUAUAAUAUAAUAAUGUCAAAAUACACACAAAAAAGUAAGGAUAGUCAUCUGGAGGAAGUUGGUAUGAAAUAUAAUGGAUUUUAACACAGUCUUUCUGUUUAUGGUAUCUACCUCUUAAUGACUCUAAUUCUGUUCAUAAACCUUAAAGUGUUAUAUAAAUGUGAGAUUAGUAAUAACAACAACAAUAAUAAUAAUCCAAACCUUACAAGCACCCAUGAUUUCAUCAGAAUAUAUAAUCCUUUGACCGACAAAUUGAAAACUCUCCAUGUCUUAGUAAAUGGAAGAUAGGGUAACAUUUUGAAGGCAGAACACCGAGAAUUUCUUGGAUAUAAACAAUGUUCUGACCAGGCAAGAUGUGGCUGGGCCACAUACAAAGGGUCAAGUUAGCUUAGCUUGGCAUCAAGGAGCAAAUCUAGAUCUAUUGAAUUCCGCAGCUCUCUUUCAGGAGCCUUCCAAAAUUUCCUGAUGUUUGUAGAAUCAAAAAUGCAUGAGGAAUGAGGGCCAGUUUUCUCCUUUUC